AUCAAGAAUAUCAAGUAUAACUGAAAUUAAUGAAGAACUAAAUAAAUUGUUUAACUAAAUGCAACCACAGCAUAUGGCAGCUCUAUAAAUUGUCCCAUAGCAUGAUCAAUUGUGGAAUUUGUUUAGGUAGGGUUUCCAUGUCUUGUUACUGUAAUUGAUGACAACCCCUCAUGGCGGUCCAUUUGUUAAAAAUGAUCCCAGAACCAGGUGCCAGUCAACAGGAAGGGCCAAAGUGCCGUGGUGUUUGGCUCUGCUAUGUACAUCUACGGGGGAUACAUUGACAUGAUUGGCUCAUCACAGGAGUUUUGGAAGUUAGAAUUUGACACCAAGUUGUGGACCCUGCUGGACUGCAUCCAGAUGGAGGUGGGUCCUGGACCCAGACACAGUCACUCUGCCAUGACCGUCCUGGACUGCAUGUACCUGUUUGGGGGGUCUGAGGGGCCUGAGUGAGCAGAGGGACCUGUGGAGGUGGAACUCCACAUGUCACUCCUGGAGAUGUCUCAAAGCCAUCGCCACCAUGGGGCAGUCUGUUUACAACAUUGACAUCAGCAAACCUCUCACUCACAAGACGCCAUACACGCUGUCUGCCAUCUAGCCAGUACAGUUGAUACCGGGAUUCAUCUAUGAAGAGCACACUUCUCCAGCAUGACAUUGGCAAUCCCAGGUGAGCAUUUGCCCACUGAAGUCGGUUACGACACCGAAUUGCAGUCAGUUCAAGACCCUGGUGAGGACGACAAGCAUGCAGAUGAGCUUCCCUGAGACGGUUUCUGACAGUUUGUACAGAUAUUCUUUGCUUGUGCAAAAUCAGUUUCAUCAGCUGUCCGGGUGGCUGGUCUCAGACGAUCCCGCAGGUGCAGAAGCCAGAUGUGGAGGUCCUGGGCUGGCGUGGUUACGCAUGUUCAGCGGUUGUGAGGCCAGUUCGAAGUACUGCCAAAUUCUCUAAAAUGACGUUGGAGGUGGCUUAUGGUAGAGAAAUUAACAUUCAAUUCUCUGGCAACCGCUCUGGUAGACAUUCCUGUAGUCUGCAUGCCAAAUACACAAUCUCUCAAAACUUGAAACAUCUGUGGCAUUGUGUUGUGUGACAAAACUACACAUUUUAGAGUGGCCUGUUUUAAUCAGCUUCCUGAUAAGCCACACCUGUCAGGUGGAUGGAUUAUCUUGGCAAAAGAUAAAUGCUCACUAACAGGGAUGUAAACAAAUUUGUGCACAAAAUAUGAGAGAAAUACGUUUUUUGUGUAUAUGGAAAAUUUCUGGGAUCUUUCAUUUCAGCUCAUGAAACAUGGGACCAACACUUUACAUGCUAUGUUUAUAUAUUUGUUCAGUAAAUCAGUCAGAAUUAAGAGAAAGAUCUAGAGUGUUUUUGCUGAAGCAAGUUACACUAAAUAUAUGAUAUAAUAAUAUAAUGUAUGCCAUUUAGCAGAUGCUUUUUCUCCACAAGUACAGCUUCACCACCCGGACCUGGGUGAAGCUAGCCGUGCUACCCAGCUCCAACCCUCCACCCCACAGGAUCUACCACUGCUGUGCUGGCCUAGGCCCCAGCUACCAGCCUGUCAUGACCACCAGCAUCACCAUCAGAAACAGUCUGGACAGCAAUCUACAGUCAUUCAAAAACAAAUGCUUCCCUUCCUCCUCAGAGUUAGAGGGCACUAUAGAGCCGGAGACGUUAAGUAGCUCAGAGAAGCUAUUGACUGAACUGGGGGACUAUUGUAAUGGUCUAAGUGGGAACUAUGCUUAGCGCUUUGGGAACUGUCUGACUUUUUAAAAUAAUUUUCAUACUUUUUUCAUCAAACCCACAACCGUGGCGCUGCUAGUGUAAUAUAUAAUUAAAUAUUCACUAUUAGCAAUUACUGAUUUUAUUUUCAAUACAAUUCAACAAAUUAUUGUAUUUCUGUUUUGCUAUAUAUUUACAUGCAUUUCAUUUGUAAAAGCUGUCAAAAGGGUGGAGGGAACGAAAUGUACUCUUGAGGACUCCAUGGUGUUGGGAAGGCUUUCAAUGCAGGCUGCAGAGUUUGCUUCCCACCAGCAGGAUCCGUGGAGGUUACGUGCAAAGUUUUUUAUAGUAAUGGUGAUCAAUGUCAUGCUAAAGUGGAGGGAAAGUCCAUGAAGAUGGACAUUAUUGUGGAUGCGGCAGAGUGGUUCCUGGGGCUAAAAUAUUUCUCAAGAAAGGGAUUACAUGAGGCUCUGUCACAAGCAGUGAUACCCUCUCAGGCCCCAGAGUGUGGGGAGGGAGCUAUUGAAGAAAUGAGGGAGUGUGAUAUAGGUUUUGUUAAGUCAUUUUUUUGUAUGGCAUUUCCUGUUUUACCUUAAGGAGUUUCCUUUUCCCCCCCUGUACAGAUGGUGGCACCAUAAAUAUAGUAUGACGACCGCCAUUAAACUUCACCGACGAAGAAGUUCACAAAAGAUCAUGAACAGUCAAAAUCAUGUUUGUCUUGAAAUUGGAUAAUAUUUGGAUGAAACCAGAUAAAGUUUAUUCAUAAAGUUACUGAUCCCGUCCCCCAUGUCAAACACUUGGAUUCUGAAGGUGGGAUUUUUAAGGGGAUAGGGUAACAUCACACUAACUCCUAUUUUAAUACACUAUUGGUAACAUGAUAUUAUAUUACCUAGCUUAAAUAAGUAACGCCUUGUAAGCAACAUCAGAGAAGGUGUGUUUGCAGAGGGGUCGUAGUUUAUAAAGCUAGAUAGCUACUCUACUGGUGCCAAAAUUGGACUGUAUGGUGUCAGCAAAUGUAAUUAAAAGUUGACACUUCACCUAUGGCAAUGAUACUUGUAUGUUUCCCCUUUCAUUUGUGUCUGGUGUUAACUAGUUAAUUGCUAGCUAGAUCUUCAUCUGUGUCUGGUGUUAACUAGUUAAUGGCUAGCUAGAUCUUCAUCUGUGUCUGGUGUUAACUAGUUAAUGGCUAGCUAGGUCUUCAUCUGUGUCUGGUGUUAACUAGUUAAUGGCUAGCUAGGUCUUCAUCUGUGUCUGGUGUUAACUAGUUAAUGGCUAGCUAGGUCUUCAUCUGUGUCUGGUAUUAGCUAGUUAAUGGCUAGCUAGAUCUUCAGCCAGCAUGGAACAAACGGGUUGUUGAAAACUCUGACGCAGUUGUCAUGUCAACACAUCUGUCAGUGCUGCUGU
ensembl:lncRNA